GUGUAAUGUGUGAAUGCCUAUAGUGACUGUAGUGUGUGUAGGAAGGUGAGAUGUGAGUAAAUCAAUAAAAAAAAAAAAGGAUAUGUACAUACAUAUAUAUGUAGGAAUGUAUGGGAAGAGAUAUGCAAAUGAUUGUUGCAAAACUUGCAGAAAAAUUGUGAUUGGAUGACUCAAGACAAGGUGAUCUAGCAACUUAAGAAAGAUAAUGUAAACAAAUCUUUG